UUUAAAGUGUCCGUGUCUAAUUUGUUUGUUAUUUGUCUUAAUUAAAUUAAUUUCUGAAAAUAAACGCUCAACAUUAGCACUGCUAUGUGGCAAAAUAAGCUAAUUUUGGGUUAACUCCGUCAAGAUGGGAAACAUGUGGGUUGAACUUCCCUUGUUUGCGUUUGAAACAUAACGCCUGGUGAUAAGAUACAUAUGUAUAUCAUAUAUCGCUUGAAUUGAAUAGCCCUCGUUUAUACAAUUUGAUGGUAUUGUCAUCUUUAGAGGGCAAACUUAGAAAACGUUUUGAUUACUUUUGCAUCAUAUUCAGUGUUGCCGUUUUGGCCUAUUUUCGGCCAGAUCUGACUUAUUUUCAAGUGCGAUUGCGGAAAAAUGUUUGGAAUCGCGGAUAUCGGAAAUCUGGCUUAUUUAUGAAUCGAAUCAGAUAUUUUUAUUUUUAGAUAUUAGUUACCGAUUAAUAGACAAAUUAACAAGCUGGCAACAAUUAAAGGCUCACAUCACUAGUUCUGCAAUUCUUCACUCUUUAACAUAUAGUGAAUAAAUAGAUUGGCUGUUGCGACUCGCAUACAUUUGUUAUCUUUGUGGAAUGCCGAAGUCAAUUAGCCAAGUCAAUUUAAUUAAAAAUUAAAUUAGAAAUAGGAUGAGCAUUGAUACGUUAAACUCAACAAUAAGCCGACAUAACAGAUGUUGUUUUGAUUACAUAGUUUUUCCCAACCGCCUAAAAUCGAUCGAAAGCAAAGAACAUUUAAAUUAUGAGCCCAAAGAGACUGUCGAAUAUCUAGAAGAAGAUUUAUUAUCAAUGUAAGAAUUUAAGUGAAUGUAAUGUUGAAAUUUCUAUUAUUAUCGUUGUAUUUUUCAUGAAUAUGAAAUGUUUCUUACAAUA